AGGGGACUAGCGUUAUUCGGAAUUCCAGGGGCGUAUAGCGCAUGUAGACGGACCUGAAAGUUGGGGGUGAAAGUCCCGGCACUCAAUCUAAUCAUGUCCUCUCACACAUCCUGGUCUAGAGUUCGAGAGAGGUGAGUGGAAUUCCGCGUGUAGAGGUGAAAUUUGUAGAUAUUUGGAGGAGCACCAGUGGUGAAGGCGGCUCAUUGGCUCGAUACUGACGAGAGGUGCGAAAGCGUGGGGAGCAAACAGGAUUAGAUACCCCCGUAGUCCUCACCGUAAACGAUGAAUUCUAGUCGUCAGGGGGCAUGCCCCAGGAAUUCGCAGCAAACGCAUUAAGCAUUCCGCUUGGGGAGUACGAGGCCAGGAUUAAACCUCAAAGGAAUUGCCGG
rnacentral:rRNA from 1 species